rfam:Steinernema glaseri strain NC unplaced genomic scaffold GLAS_5036, whole genome shotgun sequence.
UUCAGAUAUGGCGAUCUGGUUCCUACCGGGACAUACGGUAAAUUGGUCGGAUCCUGCUGUGCCCUUAUCGGAGUGCUAACGCUCGCUCUACCUGUUCCGAUUAUCGUAAGCUUUG